AACCCGUGAUGAGGACAAUCUCUCUGAUAUCCUUUGAACCUUUCCCACGCAUCGUUGAAUGCUUCGGAUGGACCAUGAACGAACGCGGAGAUCUUAGCUCGUAGAU
rfam:Arabis alpina cultivar Pajares Aa.chr7_contig_1439, whole genome shotgun sequence.